GCCGAUGUAGCUCAGUGGUAGAGCAAUUGAUUCGUAAUCAAUAGGUCGUCGGUUCAACUCCGAUCAUCGGCUCCA
rnacentral:tRNA from 1 species